UCCCCAAGCUCAGCUGGUUAGAGCGGGGUGCUGAUUAACACCAAGGUUGCAGGUUCGAUCCCUGUAUGGGACAG